rnacentral:pre_miRNA from 1 species
UAAACUAAAAUUAGUAUGAAGUUGAUCAGGGUGCCUACGUUUGCCGCUAGGGGCGCUGUUCCAACUCGAUACAAAUUUGAGUUA